UACCAGCACCCCGAGUGGUCGGGACGAUUAUUGGGCCUAAGGCAUCCGUAGCCGGUACUGCAAGUCUUCCGUUAAAUCCACCUGCUUAACAGUUGGGCUGCGGGGGAUACUACAGCGCUAGGAGGCGGGAGAGGCAAGCGGUACUCAAUGGGUAGGGGUAAAAUCCGCUGAUCCAUUGAAGACCACCAGUGGCGAAGGCGGCUUGCCAGAACGCGCUCGACGGUGAGGGAUGAAAGCUGGGGGAGCAAACCGG
rnacentral:rRNA from 1 species